rnacentral:lncRNA from 1 species
GGUUCAGCCUGGGUGGAUGUGCCUUCUUCCUUCUUCCUGGUAUAUUUCUCUCCCUCAAGAUGAUGAAGCAUUUUCGUCCAAUCCGGCACAAAUUAGUUUCUACUGGAUCAGAUGAAACAUUUCCCUUCCACAUCCCACGGGUCACAUCUCUGCGGCUGUAAGACCUCCCUGACCACUCCUGCGGAUGCCCAGGUCACCUUGAAGCGGUUCAACGGAACAGGGGAGGCAUCUCAAAUCCCUAAGGGCUCCUUCUGCACCUAGCAGGGGUCUUCUUUUAAGGCCGAGGUCUCCAAACUUGGUGUUCAGAGUAUUGUAGCAUAAAUUCAGUGCCAGAGGAGUAAACGCAGAUGGCUGAGGCUUUAUUUAACUUCUUUAUAAACACAUAAAGUAAAUUUUACAAUACCAGUUGUAGAUUUCUCCAACAUUUCUC